AACGCCGGGCCUGAUUCUUGCCGUUGUUGCCAAAUGAGCAUCCCGUUAAGCUCUUGGGAGCCUUGUGUUAGCGCCGUGCCUCUUGACAGGCACGGGUGACUUCAUUACUUCCUGGGUAUAAAAUUCCCGUCAUUGAAAAUCUAGGUGCUACGUUAGACCAGUUUGAUGCUAUUGAUUUUUCUGACAAUGAGAUCAGGAAACUGGAUGGUUUUCCUUUGUUGAGAAGACUGAAAACAUUGUUAGUGAACAACAACAGAAUAUGCCGUAUAGGUGAGGGACUUGAUCAGGCUCUGCCCUGUCUGACAGAACUCAUUCUCACCAAUAAUAGUCUCGUGGAACUGGGUGAUCUGGACCCUCUGGCAUCUCUUAAAUCGCUGACUUACCUAAGUAUCCUAAGAAAUCCGGUAACCAAUAAGAAGCAUUACAGAUUGUAUGUGAUUUAUAAAGUUCCGCAAGUCAGAGUACUGGAUUUCCAGAA
rnacentral:sRNA from 1 species